rnacentral:rRNA from 1 species
UACGUAGGGUGCAAGCGUUAAUCGGAAUUACUGGGCGUAAAGCGUGCGCAGGCGGUUAUGUAAGACAGAUGUGAAAUGCCCGGGCUUAACCUGGGAACUGCAUUUGUGACUGCAUGGCUAGAGUUUGGCAGAGGGGGGUAGAAUUCCACGUGUAGCAGUGAAAUGCGUAGAUAUGUGGAGGAACACCGGUGGCGAAGGCGGCUCGCUGGGCCAGUUCUGACACUCAUCCGCGAAAGCGUGGGGAGCAAACAGG